rnacentral:rRNA from 1 species
UACAGAGACCUCAAGCGUUAUCCGGAAUUACUGGGCGUAAAGCGUGAGCAGCCGGUUGUGUUAGUCUGUCGUUAAAUCUUAUGGCUUAACUGUAAGACCGCGAUGGAAACGGCACGACUCGAGCGGGUGAGAGGUAUGCGGAACGUGCAGUGUAGGGGUGAAAUCCAUUGAUAUUGCACGGAACACCAAAAGCGAAGGCAGCAUACUAGCGCUCUGCUGACGGUCAAUCACGAAAGCGUGGGGAUCAAAAAGG